rnacentral:lncRNA from 1 species
UUGUCACACCACAGUUGAACAACAGAAAGACAAUGCAACACAUGGCAUGGUGAAAUCAGAAUCGUACACAUAUUGUGGCCAUCAAAUAUUGCAUUCUCUGAAAUAAAGAUAGGCGAAGUACAUAACGUGGCAUCAUCUAGUUAUUUCACGAUCGAUCAGCUUGAAACCGGAUCAUUCCGAACAUCCAAGAAACCAAUCAACAAAAGCGAUAUACCACACGUGUCAUCAGCUGUUUACUUCACCCUUGAUCCGGUAAAAACUGGAUACGAUAGAAGCCAUCAGACCACAGCUACUGCAAAUACUUAUGAACUAGCAUCGCCAAUAUGUGAUGAAGUCAUAGAUGAUGAUCCGUAUAUUGAAACUGUUGAUGAUAUUUAUGAUCAUGCGCAAAGCAACAGACAUAAGAGUAUCACCUUCUGACGAUUUGUACGACCAUUCAGUUGAUGACACGUAUGACGUAGCUGAUCACAUCAGUAAAAUAGAAAAUGAUCAAACAACGCCUUAUACGUGUAUAGUAGAGAAUACAUAUGAAAAUUUGUGAAUAAAAAAUUACAGUUAAUUAUGUCUUUGAAAAAAAAUCACAUUUUAGGUUAAUAAAUG